rnacentral:rRNA from 1 species
CACGUAGGGCGCAAGCGUUGUCCGGAAUUAUUGGGCGUAAAGAGCUCGUAGGUGGUUUGUUACGUCUGCUGUGAAAACCUAGGGCUUAACCCUGGGCUUGCAGUGGAUACGGGCAGACUAGAGGUAGGUAGGGGAGAAUGGAAUUCCUGGUGUAGCGGUGAAAUGCGUAGAUAUCAGGAGGAACACCGGCGGUGUAGACGGCUUUCUGGACCGUAGCUGACGCUGAGACACGAAAGCGUGGGUAGCAAACAGG